GCUGAUUUGAUUCUUAAAGGCUGUCCAGCCAUUAUAGCUGACAACAUAGAAACUGAAUGUUAAUCUCAUACAGUCAAAUUAAACUCUAUAGCAGGGGUUGGCAACUUUUCUGAUGAGUGCAAUCUAAAAUUUCUUCAGAAGUCAAUGUGCCACAUCAACCAACUUUUUUCAACUAGCCAACCUUUCUCCUACAUCAAACGCUGCCCGUGGCUGUGGAAUGGUGGCAGUCGUAAGAAGGGAAACCUGUUGGAGUUCUAAAUGUUACAUCUUAAAAGUUGUCUCUGCUUUCACGUUUUUCAGCUCAAUCUCCCUGGCUCUGGCCAGCUCUGCCCCUAAACGCCUAAGUUCCAACUCCUCCUUCAGAUGAAACUCCCUUUCGCAUUUUUCUCUCUCCAGCUGGAGAUGAGCCAGAUGAACUCGUAGCCUAGCAUCCUGCUUUGAACCCAAAAAGAACUGUAUCGAGAGUGGCUCAAAAUGAGGCAGUGUCGUCGGCAGUGCCCUCAGGCAGUUCCUGAGCAACAGGCGUAGACACAGAUGGUGCUAUAGCUUGAUCUGGCAACAGGGGAACAUGCUGAGAUGCUACACCAUGCUCAGCCAACUCAACUGUUGAGACCCCAAUCUCGUUAAACAAUGCCAUCUCAUAUAUACACACGUAUACACACGUAUACACACACACACACACUUAUUUAUUUGCUAUCCAGCACUCAUUACUUCAGCUUAAACUUUUUGAUCACAAAUUUGUGAUCAUACUUGUGGAUCACAAUGACACAUAAUGAUUAGGCAUAUGAUUUACUAAUGUCUGGUUUUAGAGCUGUGAGCUAUGAGCUGUGAGCAAUGCAAAGUUUUUUCCUAACUUAAAAGUUUGAAAUAUGUAAGAUGUGUGGGUUCUUUGAAAAAAAUAGAAAUGACCUAAAUGCCUUAAGUAAAAUGUAGUGUUCUCAGGUGGUAACUGGUGUCUCACUACUGGCAACGGCUCUGCUCAUCACACUAUCCACCCAGGAAGAAGGAAGACAACAAUACACGAGCCGAGAAAAGAGAUGGACUAUGCCUGGUACAGAUACGCGUUUAACAGAACUGCAGAGAAAGACUGUUAUGUUUGCUCGCACAUGCCGAGCGUAUUAGCACAACCAUAUAUGGGAAACACCCUGAGAAUGACUUUUGUAAAGUGCACAACAACAUCAACAUCCUCAUCCAGGAAGAAGCGCUCAACUUUAACAAGUUUUAAAGAGACUGUUGAUUGUCGUUGGACUUUUCCUGAUUUUAUUUUUCUUUAUUUGAGUUAUUCCUUGUUUAAAGCCGUAAUUUCACAGAUGAUAAGUUUGUCACUCACAGCAUACGCAGAUGUACCAAAACCGAUGAAGAUCAUGAAGACUUCUUUUCCUAUUUGUUAGAUGAAGAUGAAGUGUAACUAAUGAUGUAGUAACUGAGAAUGUGAAAGACAAGUAGUUACUCACUGAUGAAUUGUACAUUUCAUUUCGUGAUCAACAGGAGGGAAUGUCAAAAGAGAAUAUUGUAUAAUGUGAUCAGCUAUAUGAAAUGUAUCUUUUUAUUUUAUCAUUAAGCACAUGUCUAUGUGACUUUUCACCUAGUAACUUUUGACAUGAACUCUUCUGUGAUAAACAACUUGCAGCUUCCUCUUUCUGGUUUGGAAGAUACAGACUUAGAAAAGGGGAACCUCAGCUCUGAGUUCUGAGAAUAACUCUGUUAUCUUUAUACACACACACACACACACACACACACACACACACACACACACACACACACACACACACACACACACACACACACACACACACACACACACACACACACACACACACACACACACACACACACACACACACACACACACACACACACACACACACACACACACACACACACACACACACACAAAAAAAAUAUAUUUUUUGGCAUUUUGCCUUUAUUGGGUAGCGAUAGUGAAGACAGACAGGAAAGCGGAUAGAAGACAUGGAAGGAAGACAUGCAGCAAAGGGCCACAGGUCGGACUGACUGUAACUGCUCAAAAGGUUAUGCAGAAUGUUACACAGAAGAAACCUCUGCUCCCCAUAUCACCCACAAACAAAUGGCUCAGUAGAGAGAAUGAAUGGCACCAUCCAGAGAGCCCUCUGUAAGGUUGUUGGUGACCAUCCAGAAACAUGGGAUGACUAUCUGGAUGUUGUGAUGUUUGGUCUCAGAACAAAAAAGCAAAUGACCACUGAAAUACUCACCCCAUUACCUGAUUUUUGGCAGAGAGGCUCGUUAUCCAUAUGAAAUCCCAGAACAUUACAUGGUCUUUCUGUCUGUGACAGACUACAGGAAAAUCCUACGCAAAGCACCUUAGUAAGUUUUUGAUGCACAGGCAGAACAGUUUGAAUGCAUGCUACAUCACCACCUUAAAAGCAACAAUAGUAUCAGAUCCAGGGGUCAGAAGCUACAGCAAAGGAAGAAAACGCCACCAGAACCAGCACGCGCUGCAGGUCCACAAGCCAAAUCACAAACAGCAGCAGACCCAGCCUCACAGACCACAGCAGCAGACCUCGAUCCAAAAGCUACAACUCCACCAGCAACUACUCCCCAGGUUGUAGCACCACCAGCAUCAACUACUCCUAAGUAAUCUACAGCACAAACUGUAGAAGCAACAGUACUACCAGUGACAGCAGCAACAGCCUUACAAGCUACCCCCUGCACCACCUCCAGCAUCAUCACCUCAAAGAUAUACUCAAGCUGUUGCAGAGAAAUGUAAAAAAAGAAAAAGAAAAUAACAAUUUUGUGAUUUGCUUAAAAAGCCCUUUAUUCCUAUGAUACUCUGUUACAUUACUCUUUAGAUCAUGGCACAGGAUAUUUUACACAAUUUCCCUGUUGGUUUAGGUAUAUUAUUCAAAAGACUUAAAAUUCAAUACUCUGUUAAUGCAUUUUCAAAAAAUAUACCUUCAUCAAGCAAGGCUGUAACUCACAUGUGUCACGUGACAUAAAUAAUUGAUUCUUUCAACAACAACAACAAAAACAACAACAAAAAAAAAGAGUCAUAUUUCUUUGUUAUUGUGUAAACCAGAAUGUUCAGAAUUGACAUUGUACUUAUAAUGUACACUACCAGUUAAAAGUUUGGACACCUUCCCAUUCAAAGUUCUGUUUUCAUGGCUACUUGCAUUGUAGAUUCUCACUGAAGGCAUCAAAACUAUGAACGAACCCAUAUGGAACCCUAACCUGAUCAUAUAGUAAAGAAAAAAGUAUAAAAUAAAAAGAGGUUUUGUGUCUUAGUCUUCAAAAUAGCCACCCUUUGCUUUGCACACCCUUUGCCUUCUCAGUAAGCUUCAUAAAGUAGUCACCUGAAAUGGUUGUCACUGCACAGGUGACACACAAAGCAGAGGUGACUCUUGGCCUUCCUUUCCUGGGAUGGGCCUCAUGUGAGCCAGUUUCAUUGUAGCGCUUGAUGGUUUUUGCAACUACAGUUUGGUUGUCUUUGGGGAUCAGGACCGUCUGGGUAGUGAUGUGUCCUGUGUGUCGAAGCUUCAAAGCGUGUCGGGUAAUCUCGGGGGAGUUUUUGUGAAGUGUGUACAGAGGCUUGCUUUGAUUACGUAUGCAGUGACGUUCGAGGCCUCGCGGGCAGCCCGUACCACAUGACUGAUUCAGGAACUGGCUCGCCAGUUUCCAAAUAAAAUGGGUAACAAAACACAGCUGAUUCCCCCAUCACAUUGUUUUGUGGAAUUGGAUUACGUACAUGUUACAUAGUUACUCGAGCAUUUCUUCUUCGAUGGAACCAGCAAGGAAGAGAAGAUUUCCCCUGUCUGGCAACACUGAUCUCAUCUCUCCUAAUAAGGUAUGCACACAGUAAUAAAUAUCACAAAUGAUAAGUACCAUAAUAUAAAUAAACCACACCACAGAUCCUAUAAUCUGAUUUCUGUCUUUUGGUUUAUUGAAAGGUGAAGUGUUUGUUGUGCUCCAAAGAACUUGGAUACAGCAACAACACCUCAACUAUGCUGAGGCAUUACAGAGCCCUGUGUGAAAACAAGGAGACUAUCCAAGGUGGACCAAGCUCAGGGGAGAGGAAUGAUAUGGAUGAGGCAUUGGUCAACAUGGUGAUAGAUUCCCAGCCCUUCACUAUUGUGGAGGACAGUGGGUUUAGAAAGCUUGUUAAAGCUUUGAACCUUAACUGUUCUCCCCACAAGGCAGGCUUUGAAAGCUAUGGUGGACCAAAGAUACAAAGAGUCCAAACAAAAAGAAAAACUGACUGUGGCAAAGGCUUCUGUAGUUAGUUUGACAUCUGAUAUGUGGACCUCCAUUAACACAGAGGGUUUCCUAGCUGUCACCUGCCAUGUCAUUGAUUCUAACACUGCAUUGCAUUCUGUAGUGUUAGGUGUUCAGCACUUCCCUAAAGCACAUACUGCUAUCAAUUUGUCCCAAGUAACAGCAGCGCUCAUGUCAGAGUGGGGAAUUACAGACAAAGUUACAUGUUAUGUGACUGAUGGAGCAGCAAACAUGGGUGCUUGUGCAAAGGAGCUUUGUUUGCAUCACAGUAAUUGUGUGGCGCAUACAUUGAACCUAAUGGUCAAAAAAAGCUCUUGAUCAACACACCGCGCUGUCUGAGAUCCAGACCACCUGUAGGAGGACCGUGGGAUAUUUCAAGAGCAGUGCAACUGCUAAGGAGAGGCUGACAGAGGUGCAAGAGCAAAUGGGCCGGCCUCCACUGAAGUUAAUUCAAGAGGUGGAUACAUGUUGGAACAGCACAUUCCAAAUGCUUCAAUGUAUUCAUGAGCUCAGGGAACCUAUUGGAGCAUCGUUAGCUGGCCUGCACACUGAUAUUUGCCCACUAUCCUCUGAACAGUAUGACCUUAUGGCAGAAUGUCUCAAAAUGCUCUCCCCAUUUAAUGAUGCCACCACUGAGCUGUCAGAGGAAAAGAGUGUCUGAAUCCAAAGUAAUUCCACUUCUAACCAUGUUGCACCAUGCACUAAAUUAAGAGGAAAUGGGAGUUGUCCUAACUCCAGAGAGGUCCACCAUGGUUGAGUGUCUGAGGAGACAAUUAAAGGAGAAGCUCUACAUGUUGCAGUCAAUGAGCAUCAUGUCACUGGCAACAUUGCUGGAUCCAAGGUUUAAAAAAAAAAAAAAAAAAAAAAAAAAAAAAAAGAGGCUUCUUUAGCCCCAAUAAAGCACUGGAUGCUGAGAGGAGACUCAUUUUUGAGUGUGCUGCUGCUUUGCAGCACUUGGCAGCCUCUCAGCCUGUGACUUAAGGUGUAUGAGCACAUUUUGAUUAUUUUAUUGUAUUUAGUUACUUACAUCCUGUUUGUUUUAAGCUAUGUCCACGCUAGCCCGGAUAGAUUUGAAAAAGGCGUUUGUCUGAAAACGCUCUGCGUCCACACUAGCCUCUUCAGUUGUUUUCAAAGAGUUGCGCGUCCACACUAAAACAGCCAAAAAAAACAAAAAAAACCUGACGUUGCAGUUCGUGAAACGCAAGACGACUCAACCUGCGUCAUUUCCCAUUUUCCGGCUCUUUUGGAUGACAUCACACGUCUGGAUUACCAGCUUCCAAGGCACCAAGAGUGUGCAUGUCAUCUAGGGCUGCCACAAACGAUUAUUUUGAUAGUCGACUAGUCACCGAUUAUUUUUGCGAUUAGUCGACUAAUCGGAUCAUGCAUCCAUUGGACGUAAAACGUACAGCUUAUUGCACCAGCAGCAUCUGCUCUUAUAUAACAUUAGCUUACAGUUUUAAGUGUUUAGGGUAUGUGCUAACUAAAAAUAAAGACAAGAUGAUAGUUUAUUAAAUUUAAUGAGAUUUACAGAUUGUUUCGGUAAAGUUUAAUAAACUCCUUGCUAUCUAAAAUAUAACGGGACACCGGAGUAUAUUCUCGAACAUCU
ensembl:lncRNA